ACCGUGCAAAGGUAGCAUAAUCAUUUGUUCUCUAAAUAGGGACUUGUAUGAAUGGCCACACGAGGGUUUAACUGUCUCUUACUUCCAAUCAGUGAAAUUGACCUUUCCGUGAAGAGGCGGGAAUACACAAAUAAGACGAGAAGACCCUAUGGAGCUUUAAUUAACUAACCCAUAAUAAUUUAUAAACUCACCUACCAGGUCUAACACAAUAUUAUUACUGGGUUAACAAUUUAGGUUGGGGUGACCUCGGAGAAUAAAACAACCUCCGAGUGAUUAAAUCACAGACAAACCAGUCGAAGCAUUUUAUCAUUUAUUGAUCCAAUAUCUUGAUCAACGGAACAAGUUACCCUAGGGAUAACAGCGCAAUCCUAUUUGAGAGUCCAUAUCAACAAUAGGGUUUACGACCUCGAUGUUGGAUCAGGACAUCCUAAUGGUGCAGCAGCUAUUAAGGGUUCGUUUGUUCAACGAUUAAAGUCCUACGUGAUCUGAGUUCAGACCGG
rnacentral:rRNA from 1 species